UGGGAUAUACAUAUAUGUUUC
rnacentral:siRNA from 1 species